rnacentral:tRNA from 3 species
GCUGGCGUAGCUCAGUUGGUAGAGCAUCUGAUUUGUAAUCAGAGGGUCGGGGGUUCAAGCCCCUCCGCCAGCUCCA